CUCUGCUACUCCACAUUCUGAUAUUGUUACCUAUUCUGUCAUCAACAUACGGCUUCCGCUUCUCUCUCAUGCUCGCCUGAAGGCUCUCCUUUAAGCCACAAGCCAGAAAUUUGGUCUGCAAUAAAGAACAGCCUCAGAGCUCACGAAAAGGACUCUGCCAGGUAUUUUUUUAACAACUGAUAUUUCAGAAAAUAGACUUAGAAGGUGACAUCGCUUAGAAAAUUGCAGAGGGACGUGGGAUUUCCAGGAUGCUUUGUAAUUCAGUACCAGAUAAUUUUAUAGAAGCCAACUGAUGACUCAAGCUCUAAUGGAAGAAGAAUAAAUUAAGAAUGACUGAAGGAACUCAAGAAGAACAUCUAAUUGUGAUCAUUUAUUUUGGAAUAAUGCUGAGACGUCAUGCAAGUGGAAUUAUACAAUAUAGUUGAUACACUCUUAUCCAGAGGGAUACGUUCCAAGACCCACAGUGGAUGCCUGAAGCCAGGGAUAGUACCAAACUACGUGAAAUGAUAAAACACCUACGUGAUGACAUGAAAUGAGGGGAAUGACCUAGGCACUGAGACAUAGCAUUGGGUUGCUAUUGACUUUCUGGCCAUAUGUCAGAAGGAGGACCAUCUGUUUCUGGACUGUGGUUGACCACAGGUAACUGAGACCACAGAGAGCAAAAGGGGAGAUCACGGAUGGCCGGGGGAGGGGAGGAUUAUAUUUGAAUUUUUACAUCCGGCUUAUUUCACUUGGCAUAAGAUUUUUCAAGUUUCAUCUAUUUUGUAGCAUUUAUCAGAACUUCACUGUUUUUUUUUUAAGUUUAUUUAUUUAUUUUUGAGGAAGAGAGAGAGCGCAUGGUGGAGGGGAAGAAAAAAGGGACGGAGCGAGAAUCCCAAGCAGGCUCUGCACAGUCAGCCUAGAGAUCGAUCCAGGGCUCAAAGUCAACGAACCUCAAAAUCAUGACCUGAGCCAAAAUCCAGAGUCAGAUGCUUAACCGACUGAGCCACCCAGGCACCCUAGAACAUCACUUUUUAUAGCUGAAUAACAUUCUAUUAUGUGUAUAUAUUACAUUUUCUUUAUCCAUUCAUCAGUUGAGAGACAUCCAGAUUGUUUCCACCUUUGGCUGUUGUGAAUAAUUCUGCAGUGAGCAAGUAUCUGCUUGAGGCCCUGUUGUAAUUCUUUGGGGUAUAUACUUAAGAAAGGAAUUGCUGGGUCAUCUUCUUGAUCUAUGUCUAAUCUCAGUUUAAUAACUGUAUGUUUGCCUUUUGUUCCCUCUAACUCCUCCAAAUUCAGAAACAAAUACUUCCAUUGAGUUUCUUUACCUUUAAUGGCCAGGUAAUUAUUUGCAUUCAUUUACUGAAACUAAUCAGAAUGUAAUUGAACAAACUUUUUAAUAAAGGCUGUACCUGGAGUGUCAUGUUUCAGAAUAAAUCUCACUUAUUCAGUUAUGAAAAACCCACCAUUAAGGGUCAAGGUUCGCACUUCAUGGGUGGAACCAACGCCUACAAAGUUCUCCUUGAAAACUGUUCUCAUGUUUGUUCUGUCUUACAGGGUCCCAGACUUACAGGGAGACAUUAGGAGAAACCUUAGGAGAUUGGAGACAUUUCAGAAAGAGGAACUCACACAGAUUCCUAGGUACUUCAGGCAGAAUCUGACAGAGAUAGAUUUCUGGGGGUUGGCUUUUUAGCCUCCAAAUAGAAGAAAUACAAGCAAUGAUUUAUUUAAGCACUGGGGAAUAGAGAUUAUUGAAAAAUGCAAUCUUGGGUUUUUAUAAAAUCUUUGACAAUGUUUUUUAUUUUGAUGGUUGCUUAAUACCAUAUGACUCUAGACUUGAUGACUAUCCUAUAGUGCAUAUAUGUAUUCAUUAAUAUUGAAUGCUGCACCCAUGAGGCCACACCUUUUUGAAACAAGAAUAUUCCAUGGAGAAAAUUUAUAAACACACAUUUUAAAAAUCCAGAACUUGGAAAUAGAUAAAAAGAUGGCUCAUAUCCUUUCCAAUCAUACCCAGAGCAUUAUCCAACAGGACUACCCAAGGAUUGUCUGAUUCUCUAAGCAUAUAUGCUUUAAUCAUUUACUAUUAAUUAGGGUAUGCUACAAAUCUAUAAGGAUAGAC